GGGGGAGAAGGAGGAGAGGGGAGAGAGAGGAUGACAGGGAGAGAGAAGAAAGGAAGAUAAAGGAAGAAGAAGUGAUUCAGAUUCCAUGUGACUUUAAAUAACCACAGAUAGCUGUGAAUAUCUCAUAAAAGGAUAGAAUAAUUGGGAUAACUUGCUGAGAAGAUACAAGCAGUUCUGAAGCAGUUGGAAACAGAGCUGGGAAGAUGUUGGGGCCCAAAAGGCCCUGGCAUCUCAGCCUCCAUCUUGUCCCUGGGGAUCAUCUUUUAAUUAAUACUCUUUUGUUUCUUCUACUAUCUUGCUUCUGUUGUCUUGGGACAUUUUACGAUAGGGGCUUUCCAGACAUUUUAAAAUGGGGGCAUUCCUUUAAAGUCAAUGUGUUAGCAAGUGAUAACACCUGUUUGGCCUGUGCACCUGAGCAAAUACUGUUUGUGGUUCUCAGCUUUAUAAGCCCUCUGUUUCCCAAGAGUAAAUGAGACUUGAACAGAAUAUUUGUCUUGUCUCUUUCCUUCCCAUCUCCUGAUCACAAUUUGUCAUUGUUGCUCCUUUCUCCGAGUCCCCUGUUGCUUAAGUCCUGCAGGUUUGGGCACCUGGUGCCCAACAGUGAGACUCAAGUACAAAGGGACCAGUGAAGAUCACUGCAGUGUUUUUGGUUGGCUGACAAAUUUUGUGUGGAAGAAGGCUUAUGCGGAACCUGCCUCCUCGACUAAGGAUCCUGUUUUCCAUAGUAAAGAUGCUGCUACCCGCUGAGAGGCUGAACAUUCUGAGACAUUCGUGAAUAAGCAACACCCCUGGAGACCAAGUGCUGACAGCCUGGUGACAAAGCAUCAAGAACCUGGCGUGGUGGGGGAUGGGCCUUCAGACUUCUCUCAUUUUGUAUAAUGUCUAUCACACUUCAAAACAUUAUGGAAUUCCAUGUAAUGGGACUGCAAUGCAUGAAUUAUAACCACACAAUUACACAGUUGUUACCAUAUAACUCUAGUAUAAGUAACAGUAUACCAGAAACCAAUAAUCUCCUGGAGGUGACAUGAAAGAAAAGACAACAAAAGACACAUACAUAGGACUUUGUGGAAAUUAAAAAUAUUUUGCAUCAAAAAGGCAACAGAAGGAAAAGAAGUCCUACAGACUCUAAGAGAAUACCUUGUAUCGAAAAGAGUAACUAGAGUGACUAGACAGAGGGAGGGAGAGACAGCAUUGAUAGAAUGAAGCAAAAAUGUGGACAAUUCAAUAAUUCAGGCUACAUACAGACUGAAAAGAUAUACUACAUGUGGUAUGUCUGUGGAGGACCAGCUAUAGUUUUGUGUCCUCCAUUUUCACCUUUAGGAUUUCCAGAUUCUGCUGCACACCGGUCUAGAAGGAUGAAGUCUGGAAUAGGUUGGGUCUGCAGGAUCCAGUCCAGCAGGGAGUGAGUGCUGGGGACUCCAAUGAUCUUCAGUGAAACAGCUCUCUUAGAGGAUCUUAGCUUGUGUGCAUAUCUUUUUCAGGAUGGGCUUAUACAGAUAAACUUUAUUCAAGGUGAACCAGAGCUAGAUAUGAACCUUGGACAGUAGAAUGGAGUUGUCAGGGUAAAUGAAAAUAAUUGGCUAGAGUUUAAAGUACUGUGAAUGCUUCAUUUGUAUGGAGAGGCAUUCCAGGCAUCCCAGGUCCUUUCUGGGCAGGUUCUUAUCAGGAAAGAGGAAGUUGAACUUGUAGGUCCGACAAAGACUACUCAACAUUCUUCAGGUUGAAGGUAUGGCUCUCCAAACAAGAUCUCAGAGAAGGGGAAGCCCUGCUGGUAAAGGGAGUCCUUCAUUUUGUGCUGAGCUCAGUGGAGCAAUCCAAUCAUGGUGGAUUUUGACCUUAAUUAGUAAGGUUUUUCCACAACAUAUUCACAUAUACACCUAAGUCAUUGUAUCUGGUUAAGUGGAUUUAUUAGCGAACAUAAAAAAAAAGUUUAUAGCGUACUCUGAAACUUGAACAAAAUAAGUAAAGUAAAUAAAAGUAGUAGACUAAUGGAAUUAGAAGUCUAUUUUAAGUCACAUUCACUAAGGAGAUAAAUGUGGAGUAGAUACACAAUAGCUUGAAAGCAAAGGCAAGAUAUUUUUUACCCUUAAAUAUCUCCUCUUAGAAUAAGAUGACCAUGAAAAUAAGCAAAUAAUUGUGCUAUACUAUGUUCCAUAAUCAGGAUGACAAUAGGAAACUUGACUAUUGGAGGUUCAGUAUCUACUCUGGUCAACUUAGGGUAUGAUUGUAUAGAAUGGUGGUUAGUGAUACCUAAAUUAGAAGAUGAAUUUUGACUUGAAUCAAGAAUGACAAAUUGGAGGAAUCACUUAAUUCACAACAGCUUUGCAAAGUCCUGAGCAUAUAAAUGACCUCAGAUCAUUUGGUACAGUUCACACCUCCAGCAAGACUUCCCUUUCAGCCUUGUGAAUAUCAUGAAGUAAGCAGUAACCAGAAACCACAGAGUCAUACUGCAGUCUUCUCCAGCCUUGAGCAGGCUGGUUCAGACCGGUUCUGCCACUGUGAAGGAGACCACCUAGGGUGGAGCCUUCUGACCUAGAUAGGUCUAUUAUUCUGCCACCUCUGCACUUUUCUCCAAGAUGCUGCUACCUGCUGAGAGGCUGAACCUGUCUUCCAGAAUAAGCAACACCCCUGGAGACCAAGUGCUGACAGCCUGGUGACAAAGCAUCAAGAACCUGGUGUGGUGGGGAAUGGGCCUUCAAGACUCUUAAACUUUGGGCCUUGAUCAGUAUCUUGUCUUGAUCUCAUUAUUUCUUUCAGCCAUUUCUUCCCAUGCAGCCCCAGCCUCCCCUUUCAGAACCCAGUUCGUGUAGCUGUGAGUGGCUAUACCAUACAAUCAAUCCCAUAUACUAUUCUCUUCUGCUACCAGCUCUUCACAUCCCAUCUAUUUAUUUCUGCCGUCAUUAGAGUCUAAGCUUCUGGGGUCAUCAUCCACAGCUGGAUCCCACCCUCAAUAGCUUCUUUCCGUUCCAAAUCUCUAACUCUAUGUUCCUCAUAAACCUGAGUUCUAAUGCCCCGAGCAUAUGAUGAACAAGGGACAGCUGUCUUCCUGACUUCACUUGGCUGCACCUAAACCAUUGCUCUUGCUUCUCCUGCUCCAAGACCUCCAAAUUACUUAAAAGUCA
rnacentral:lncRNA from 1 species